CCCAAAACAUCCAUCAAACAGUAAGGUACCAAGGUACCCCCCAAACUUCAUACAUCAUUUUAAAGAGCAUAUCCGAGCACCCAUUCUGGGACAAUAGUUCUCGAAUCCAUGUAGAAUUGUCCAAAGGCCACACAGUCAAAGUUGCAGUGAUUUACCGGGCGCAAUAGCUCCUCGUGGAAAGGAGUUUCCUGACGGUUUCGGUGAGUUAUUGUUCAUUUCUAUGGAUAGAAG